GAAACAGUUAAUCGAAUGUUAAACAAAACGAAUGAGGCUUGCAUGGUGCCCUGAAGGUCAUUAGACUCAAGGUCUGAGCAGCUGCCAAGGGGAGCGAGCUCCAGCGCAGGAGCACUCAUCUGAGAAACCCCUGCUGCUGGACUUGGAGGGGUCGAACGCAGCACUGACUGCAGGCGCCUCCCAGCUGAUCUCAGCUGCCAUGGCUGGACGAGGGGCAGACACUUUGGGUUUUCCUUCCCAAAAGGAAAGGACUUCAGGAAAAGUGAAUGAAGGCUCCUGGAUGCACAGGCGGAUGCAAGUCAGUACCUGCAAUCAUCAAAUUCCUGCAAGCAGCACAGGUUGGAGAUACACAGGACCUCUGCCUGCACCCAGGGCCUGGACCAAAAGACCCUGACCCUUUCAAGAUGUAAGCCUGUGCUAAACUAAACAUUCUACUUGCCUGGAAGUCCAGCAUCUCUGCUGAGUUUGCCCUAUGAUGGCACCAAGCGUGUUUCAGAAGCCACCAGGACCGAGCUGCUGACCUCUUGCCUGCUGCUGCUAUCUGUGCAGAGGAUCAGGAGGAGGAGUUGGCAAGUGCCACAGAACUACUGCCAAUCUUGGCUGUUAUUUCAGGAUAUUUUCCUUCAUAGAUUAUUAAUAAAGGAAUGUCAAAAACACUUCUUCUACCUCCAUAGCCCUUUCUACUCCCUUGUACUAUUUUCGAAGAGCUGUGCCGAGGUUUUGAGCCAUCACUGACUGCAUUGCUCGUGCCUCAUUCACACAGGGGUCCUCCUGCUUUCUGCAGAUGAGAUGGUCUGGUUUGGCUGGUAUUGCAGCAGCCCUUUGCGCUGCAAGUGGGCAGUUGUGGGAAGCUGGGGGGGCAGCAGGUCUGAGCUCAGGGUGAUGAUUUCCCCCUUGCUCACCUACAUGAGUUCUAGGGCUGGAGCCAAGCCUGUAGGAAGGCUCCCCAUGACCUCAAGGCAUAUGGAGGGUGGCUGUUAAUCUCUGUAAGGAGAUCAAGCCUGACUGUCCUGUGACCAGGACUACUGCAGGCUAUGGGGACUUGAGUGACACUGAGGAUACCGGCAGAUCCAUGUGCAGAUAGGUGCUGCCAGCAGAAGUGAAACCCACCUGAGAAGUUUGCUCAGGAGAGCCCUCCCUGCUGAUGAGCUUGGGAGUGAAGCAAUGCAGAAACCAGCUCAUGUUUCCUUGGGCAACACCCAAGCCUGGGGAAAAUCUCCUAGGAGAUCACCCUCAAACACACACACAGCCUUCAUCCCAAAGGUCUGCCCUUCUGCUUGUCACCCAGGAGCAGAGGGCUGGAAGACAAAAGUGUUAGUUCAUUUUGUGCAUUUGCUGCCUUCUGGCAUAAUUACAGUAGGUCCUCUUCUCAGAAAGGAGUAGAUAUACCAUUUAGCUGACAUUGCUUCAUGAUAAGAUGAGUCGCAUCUUCAGCAUCUCUGCUUCUUGGGUGAAUCGAACAUCUCUAUAAGGCUGGGUGAAUUCCUUAACCCCACCAGGCAACCUCUCACAUCCUCACAGCCUUCAUUUCAGCCUCAGUGCUGCACCCACACUCAUUGUCAUCAUCCUUUCUCUCACUUGGUUUCCUGGAGACCUCAGCUAUGGCUCACUCUUCUCAUACAUGUGGGUUCUCUCUUCUACUGCCUCUUGCCUCACAGUGCCACUGUCUCUUCUCUCUUCCAUGGAUCUGAUCAUUUUCAUAAAAUGGCUUGGGUUGGAAGGGAGCUUAAUGACUGUCAAGUUCCAGCCCCCCUGCCACAGAGUUACCCAGACAGUAGAUCAUGAACCAGAUGAGAUUGCCUAGGGUCCCAUCCAAGGUGAAAACCUUGAAAACCUCCAGGGAUAUCCACAACCUCUCUGAGCAACC